GGCUGCGUUCCAUUCAAGUUUCAUUCGGAACAGACUGCAGAGAUUACGGCGCGGAUCAGUUUUACUCAGCUUACAUGAUCUGCGCUGGAGGCUUCACUAGAUACUGGAAGCCCCUGCCAUUGCGACGAAGGUUCGCCUUUGGUGCAAAACAAAAACAUCAGUGGAACAGUGGGAGUGGUUGGAAUCAUGUCCAAGAAUGCCAGUUGUGGAAACAAUUUCCAACCAACCAUUUACACCAGAAUGUCUCCUUAUUAUCCUUGGUUCAAUAAGCUUGCCGGAGAACAGCCUACAUAGAAAGAACGUUAUAAGUGUUUUUUCCCUGCGACAAGUAUCAAAUAAAUAAAGUAGGGAGUUAUAAACUUUCGUAUAGCAACGCUAUCGCCCAUCGGGUUCUUGAAUUUCACAUCCUAACGGGUCUAAGACAAAUCUCUGUGGUAUGUCAGGAAGCCAACAAAAACUCGUCAGCAAUUGUUGGACAGUCAAAAAGAAGCAAAAGUAUCGCAAUGAAGCUCACAGCUCUAAUAACUGCUCUCGCCUUCGUCGCCCUUACAUCAGGAGCACCAAGCGAAGAUCGCAUUUACGCUGGUAGUAAAGGCCUACAACCGCCAUACCUUUUUUGGUUUCGAUAGUGGUGAAUGAACAUGCGG